GUUUCAUAGACAGUCACUGUCACAGGUUAUACUUAUUUCUUCCGCUGUGACCCUUAUUCUUAAAAGAAGAAAGAGAGGUUGAGAUAGGAAUCGCAGUGUGAUUUUCUUGGAAGGAACGAGUUGCCAUACGCGUCUGGAUGGCGGGAACAUCGUGUGUAGAUCGAAGAGCAGAAGCAGGCUAUAUUUGUGGUGGAACAAGAUACGAAAGUUGUGAACCAAGGGACAUCAUUUGGUCUGAUGGAUACAGUUUUGUUUGGGGUGCUUUUUAGGCGGCAGUCAUAAUAGAACAAAUUAACAAUGCAGCAACGUAUUCGGAGUUUGGGUCGUCAAAGACUGUGUCCAAGUCGACCGAGUUUAGGUUGCGUCUAUAUGUCUGGUAGUCUGCCUGAUCAAACAACCGGAUCUUGCGCGGCAAACUAGUAUGUUUAAGUCUAAAGAAUUUCAGAACACAGACAACUGGACAAUGAACUCGUGGAAUGUCAUGAACGAAGGGGUCUGACACACAGCUAGGAAGAACAUGUUAGAAGUUUUGGAUACACAUUAUGUAAAUUAGUAAAUAAGAAUGCCCGGUGAAAUUAGUUGGCCUAUUUAUAAGCUGUUCAGCAUUAUAAGAAGUGAUUAAUCGGCUUAUUUUGCUGGACGGUGAAACGUUGACAUAAAUGUUGGAUCUCUUUUUAAAAGGAAGUAUUUGUCUUACGAACUGCUAUAAACUACAAGGCGAACGAGUCCCUUUAGACGAGUGAACACAAACGCUUGCAAUGACUAUAGUCAUCUGAAACACGUACUUACCUCAAUCAAAGCGUUUCCUCUUUAAAUUUACAUCUGAUUUCAUUCAUUUACAUUUUAUUUAUGUUGACCAUAAAGUGCAAUCCGACAGUAAAAAAAUACAUUUCCAGGUUAAGUGGGAAAUAAUUUCAUUUAUUUUCUAAAUUUAGCGAAACUCGCUAGUUUAAGUAGAUUUUAAUGUACAAUUAAAA